CAAAUACUCCCUCCGUUCCAAAUUACUCGUCGCAGAAAUGGAUGUAUCUAGAACUAAAAUACAUCUAGAUACAUCCAUACCUGCGACAAGUAAUUCGGAACGGAGGGAGUACAUU
rfam:Triticum urartu cultivar G1812 contig736088, whole genome shotgun sequence.